UGCCAGCAGCCGCGGUAAGACGAAGGUGGCGAGCGUUAUUCGGAUUUACUGGGCAUAAAGCGCGCGUAGGCGGCCUGGUCAGUCGGAGGUGAAAUCCCACAGCUUAACUGUGGAACUGCCCCCGAUACUGCCGGGCUUGAGUGCAGGAGGGGUGACUGGAACUCCAGGUGUAGCGGUGAAAUGCGUAGAUAUCUGGAGGAACACCGGAGGCGAAGGCGGGUCACUGGACUGCAACUGACGCUGAGACGCGAAAGCGUGGGGAGCAAACAGGAUUAGAUA
rnacentral:rRNA from 1 species